UCUCCCCAGCUGGCCAGUUUUCGAACUUGUAGAGGUUCAUGGAUUUGGUUUUUUAAAGAGUAGAUCUGUAACUCUCUGCAAGCACCUCCUCUUCACGUGCCCUUCCUCCAUGCUCCUGAGCCUCCUAGAUUACAAUCGGUCUCUUCCUUGUUGCCAUUAGCCCUGGCCUUCACGCGCAUGCGCAUGGAUCUCGAUCACUCUCUCAAGAGUGUCCUCCACGCGUUGGCGCGUGGAGCUGUCUCUCUGAUGCGUGGCCUUUCCGGUGGUGGGUUUCUACCACUCUCCUCCGUUGUUGUUGCUGUUUACAAGUCCCGAAUUCAGACUCUACAAGUGCUUCUACUGCUUUAGCUUCCUUCCGAUGGUUAUCGUUAUUGCUAAGUGGGAGUUUAGAUAGGUUUGCUUUAAUUUGUAUCCAUUUUACUUAUGUAACUGCUUUGUGCAGCUCCUUGAGAGGACCGUGUCACUUGUUUGACUUAUUUUCUAUCAUUUGUAAUUAUUUAUGCACUGUUUUAGUUUAUUUUGAGUUUAUUGUUAAAAGCC